rnacentral:misc_RNA from 1 species
GAUGAAGAACGUAGCGAAAUGCGAUACUUGGUGUGAAUUGCAGAAUCCCGUGAACCAUCGAGUCUUUGAACGCAAGUUGCGCCCGAAGCCAUUAGGCCGAGGGCACGCCUGCCUGGGCGUCACACGUCGUUGCCCCCCCAUCUACUCCUUCGGGAUUGCGGGGGGCGGAUGAUGGCCUCUCGUGCGCCUCGUCGCGCGGUUGGCCUAAAUGCCAAGUCCUCGGCGACGCACGCCACGACAAUCGGUGGUUGCGAAACCUCGGUUGCCUGUCGUGUGCGGUCGUCGCGCAUCGAGGGCUCGAAAAAAUUGCCGGGCUUCGGCUCGACUUUCAACGCGACCCCAGGUCAGGCGGGGUUACCCGCUGAAUUUAAGCAUAUCAAUAAGCGGAGGG